AUUUUAUGGUCAAGCUACUAAGGGCGUGUGUGUGGAUGCCUUGGCGCAAGUAGGCGAAGAAGGACGUGGCCAGCUGCGAUAAGCCUCGGGAAGGUGCUAGCAACCUGUGAUCCGGGGAUGUCCGAAUGGGGAAACCCGGCGGGUGAGAACACCCGCCACCGCCGCCUGAAUCCAUAGGGCGGCGGAGCGAACCCGGGGAAGUGAACCAUCUCAGUACCCGGAGGAAAAGAAAACAACCGUGAUUCCGAAAGUAGUGGCGAGCGAAAUCGGAACAGCCUAAACCCGGCGAUUCGCAAGGAGAGCCGGGGGUUGCAGGACCUCGAUGUGGGAAGACAAGGGUUAGUCGAACGGCAUGGAAAGGCCGGCCAAAGAGGGUGAUAGCCCCGUACACGAAAAUCCGAGUCUCCCUAGGGGUAUCCUAAGUACCGCGGGACACGAGAAACCCUGCGGGAAUCUGCCGGGACCAUCCGGCAAGGCUAAAUACUGACUUGCGACCGAUAGUGAACCAGUACCGUGAGGGAAAGGUGAAAAGAACCCCUGCGAGGGGAGUGAAAUAGUACCUGAAACCACACGCCUACAAGCAGUUGGAGGGCUAUGCCCCGCAAGGGGAACGCCUGACAUCGUGCCUAUUGAAUAAUGAGCUGGCUAGUUAAUCUCAGUGGCAAGGUUAAGCGAAAGCGAGCCGCAGCGAAAGCGAGUCUGAAUAGGGCGUUCAGUCGCUGGGAUUAGACGCGAAGCGGGAUGAUCUACCCUUGGCCAGGAUGAAAGUAGGGUAAAACCUACUGGAGGUCCGAACGGGUGUUUGUUGAAAAAAGCUCCGAUGAGCUGAGGGUAGGGGUGAAAGGCUAAUCAAAUUCCGUGAUUGCUCGUUCUCUCCGAAAUAGCUUUAGGGCUAGCGUCGUAUGAUUUGUCGUGGCGGUAGAGAUCUGAAUGGACUAUGGGGCUUUCCAGCUUACAGAAUCCAAUCAAACUUCGAAUGCCAUUGAACAACCAAUACGGCAGUCAGACAGCGGGGGCUAAGCUUCGUUGUCGAGAGGAAAACAGUCCAGAUCGCCUGCUAAGGUCCCAAAAUAUCAGCUAAGUGGGAAAGGAAGUCGGAACGCCCAGACAGCCAGGAGGUUGGCUUAGAAGCAGCCAUCCUUUAAAGAAAGCGUAAUAGCUCACUGGUCAAGCGGUCCGGUGCCGACAAUUUAACGGGGCUUAAGCUGAUUACCGAAGCAGCGAAUGCAUGGUGUAACAGCCAUGCGUGGUAGGAGAGCAUUCUCAACAGUUAGAAGCCAGACUGAGAAGACUGGUGGACGGUUGGGAAGAGACCCUGCCGGCAUAAGUAGCGAUAACGGAGGUGAGAACCCUCCGCGCCGAAAGUCUAAGGUUUCCUGAGAAAGGUUAAUCCGCUCAGGGUCAGGCGGUUCCUAAGGUGAGGCCGAAAGGCGUAACUGAUGGACAUCCGGUUAAUAUUCCGGACCUCCCAUGUGGUCGUUAUACGAUGGGGAGACGCAGAAGGAUAAGCAGGCCGUCCUAUGGCUAUGACGGUUGAUGCGUGUAAGGUGUUCUCGAUAGGAAAAUCCGUCGAGGAGUUAUCACUGAGACGCAAAACAGUACUCCGUAUGGAGGAAAGCUGCUGAUUCCACGCUGCCGAGAAAAUCCUCUAAGGAGAACAUGUGGGAUCCGUACCUCAAACCGACACAGGUAGACGAGAAGAAUAUUCUAAGGCGCUCGUGAGAACAGUUGGUAAGGAACUUGGCAAUAUAACCCCGUAACUUCGGGAGAAGGGGUGCCUCACUAGGGUGCAAGCCCGAAGAGGCCGCAGAGAAAUGCGCACUGCGACUGUUUAACAAAAACACAGGUCUCUGCUAAGUCGAAAACGACGUAUAGGGGCUGACGCCUGCCCGGUGCUGGAAGGUUAAAGGGAGAGGUUAGCCGCAAGGCGAAGCUUUGAACUGAAGCCCCAGUGAACGGCGGCCGUAACUAUAACGGUCCUAAGGUAGCGAAAUUCCUUGUCGGGUAAGUUCCGACCUGCACGAAUGGCGUAACGAAAGUGCGACUGUCUUGCCGACUGACACGGCGAACUUGUAGUGCCGGUGAAGAUGCCGGUUGCCCGCAACUAGACGGAAAGACCCCGUGCACCUUUACUAUACCUUUAGUAUGAACUAUGGCACUUGCUGCGCAGGAUAGGUGGGAGGCUUGGAACUCAGGUUUUCGGACUUGGGGGAGCCACCGGUGAGAUACCACCCUGCGAGUUCUGUGGUUCUAACCUAUUCCCGUGAUCCGGGAAAGGGACAUACUAAGGCGGGUAGUUUGACUGGGGCGGUCGCCUCCUAAACUGUAACGGAGGCGCGCGAAGCUACGCUCAGGCUGUUUGGAAAUCAGCCGACGAGUGCAAACGCAUAAGCGUGGUUAACUGCGAGACCUACAAGUCGAGCAGAUACGAAAGUAGGCGUUAGUGAUCCGGUGGUUCUGUAUGGAAGGGCCAUCGCUCAACGGAUAAAAGGUACGCCGGGGAUAACAGGCUGAUCGGAGCCAAGAGUUCAUAUCGACGCUCCGGUUUGGCACCUCGAUGUCGGUUCAUCGCAUCCUGGAGCUGUAGAAGGUUCCAAGGGUUAGGCUGUUCGCCUAUUAAAGCGGUACGUGAGCUGGGUUCAGAACGUCGCGAGACAGUUCGGUCCCUAUCUGUUGUGGGCGCAGGAGAUUUGAGAGGGCCUGUCCUUAGUACGAGAGGACCGGGAUGGACGAACCUCUUGUGUUCCAGCUGUCACGCCAGUGGCACCGCUGGGUAGCGAAGUUCGGUUGUGAUAACCGCUGAAUGCAUAUAAGCGGGAAGCACUCCUCAAGAUGAGAUCUCCCAACCCAUAAGGGUCAAGAAGGGCCCAGGUAGACUACCUGGUUGAUAGGCAGGAUGUUGAAGCGCAGUGAUGCGUGUAGCUUACCUGUACUAAUCGCCCGUUCGGCUUGACCAUAAAA
rnacentral:rRNA from 1 species